AACCCCAUAUUACAGUGAUAGACAAUUACAGUAUGGGUAAGAACACAGCCAGCAUCCAACCGGCCAACCAGUGCACUGUAUGAUCCUGCAGUGGCCCCCGGGCCCCCGAUAGGGGCAUGUAUCUGUCGAUGAAGAGAACCAUCUGGAGAGAAUUGUGUUCUGCAAUGUGGAGCCACCCGGUGGACAGACAUGAAAUUACACCGGUACUAGAAAAUCACAGAGCCGAAGAGAACUUUUGAAGGAGGUUCUGCAUUCCAUCCCCGCCAUGGUAUGCCCGGAAUGUUUCCCACAGAAACCGUACAGCUAUAGAGGACAUUCAGACGGCAGAACUUCCCUGAGAACAAAGUGUUAUUCUAUAGUGUGUUUAUAGUGUCUUACUGACAAUAAAGCAAUAAAAACAACCGCAAACUAAAUAUACUACAAUACCGUCUUGUGCUCUAAAUAAAACACAUUUCUGGUCUUGUUGUUCUCGGUGGAGCUUGUUACAAGCCAACAAAAUAACAAUAACAAAGGACUUAUUUUCUGAAUAGUAAUGU